GGAAGAUUGCAUGUCAUAUGCAGUUCAAUUUAUUUUUCUUCUUCUUCCACCCUAUCACCAAAAAAACGUUCACUCCCAACUGUUUUGGAAGCUAAGGAACCAAGACUUUCAUUCCCAAGUUGAGCAGUGACAGUGGAGAAUGCUGAGCAAAGUUAUGAUUUUUCUUUUAUUUUAAGUAUAGGCUCUCGACGGUGUAUGUCUCCAUACAUGUGACCGUGUUCAUUCCGCUGCGUAUUGUUCUUCUAUACUCUAAUAAUUAUUUAUUGAAUAGUAAGAUUUCCAUUCAA